rnacentral:snRNA from 2 species
UCACUUACCUGGACGGGGUCAAUGGGCGAUCAAGAAGGUCCAUGGCCUAGGUUGGUGACCUCCAUUGCACUCAGGAGGGGUGCCCGCCUAAGGUCGGCCCAAGUGGUCGAGCCUACGUCAUAAUUUGUGGCAGUGGGGGCUUGCGUUCGCGCAGCCCCUGC